rnacentral:misc_RNA from 1 species
CUUGAAAGAUCUUCCAUAACAUAACAGAGAAUGAACCUAAUGCUUCUAUUCUCAACUACAAUACAAUUAAUUUUGUUCUUCAUAUAAUCUUGUCUCCCUAAGGCUACUCUUUAUAUUCAGGAUCUUGUUUACCAAAGAUCAACGGGAAUUCAUCAUGCUGGUCAGAAAAACCAUGUUUCUCGGCCAUGCUCUUUAAAGAUUCAUAUACUCGGUACAUAGAAGGCCUAUCCUUGGGCCUGGAAACCACACAACUCCAAGCAAUCUUCAGGAACUGCAUUAUUUCAU